CAGCUGGACAUCCAGUCGAUAGGGACUUUACAGAACUCCUAACGGAAUACUUGAUCAUGGGGGAAUACCAGGGAUGACAUGGCUGUCACUACCCUACCACCUACCCCUCUACCCGAAAGAUUCCCAUGCAUCCACUAAUCUCUACAUACCCGAGCACCUCGCCCGUGUAAUUGGAAACGCCUCCUAGCCUCCCGGGACCCCAACCCUUCGGAUUGACAGGCUCGACUAAGAGUGGCCAU
rnacentral:lncRNA from 1 species